AGCUUUGCGCAGUGGCAGUAUCGUAGCCAAUGAGGUUUAUCCGAGGUGCAAUUAUUGCUAAUUGAAACACAGGGCAGGGCCAGACCUAGAGCGGGUUUCCCCUCCCAGCCCAGGGAUUUUCACCUGCAGGACACUGC